rnacentral:rRNA from 1 species
AGGACGAACGCUGGCGGCGUGCUUAACACAUGCAAGUCGAGCGGAAAGGCCCUUCGGGGUACUCGAGCGGCGAACGGGUGAGUAACACGUGAGCAACCUGCCCCUGGCUCUGGGAUAGCCUCCGGAAACGGGGAUUAAUACCGGAUAUUCACUGCUCCCUGCAUGGGGGGUGGUGGAAAGUUUUUCGGCUAGGGUGGGGCUCGCGGCCUAUCAGCUUGUUGGGGGGUGACGGCCCACCAAGGCGACGACGGGUA